ensembl:snRNA Gm24671 U1 spliceosomal RNA
AGAUUUACUUGGCCGAAGAGAUCCCAUGAUCGCAGGGUGCAUUUCCCUGGGUGAGGAUUAUUCAUUGCCUUUGGAACAUGCUGUCCCCUGUAAUUUAGCCAAAUGUGGGAAACCCAACCCCAUCAUUUGUGGUCCUGGGAGACUAUGUUUGCACUCUGC